CAAGGUACCGUCAUGACACGGAUGUAUUAGACCCGUGCUUUUCGUUCCCUGCGACAGAGCUUUACGACCCAAAGGCCUUCAUCGCUCACGCGGCGUUGCUGCGUCAGGCUUUCGCCCAUUGCGCAAUAUUCCC
rnacentral:rRNA from 1 species